rnacentral:snRNA from 12 species
AUACUUACCUGGCAGGGGAGAUACUAUGAACUUGUCAGCCUUGAAUUAUUAGAUGUAGUUAGAGGGUGAAGGUCUGUUCCUUUCACUGCAAACAGGUUGACCCAUGCGAGAGUCUACACAUGUCUCCAGUUGUGAGGAGCUCAGCUACACAAUUUAUGGUGAUGAGGGAUUGCUCUUGGGCUUUCUCUCU